UACGUAGGGACCAAGCGUUGUUCGGAUUUACUGGGCGUAAAGGGCGCGUAGGCGGCGUAAUAAGUCACUUGUGAAAUCUCCGGGCUUAACUCGGAGCGGCCAAGUGAUACUGUUAGGCUAGAGUGCAGAAAGGGCAAUCGGAAUUCUUGGUGUAGCGGUGAAAUGCGUAGAUAUCAAGAGGAACACCUGAGGCGAAGGCGGGUUGCUAGGCUGACACUGACGCUGAGGCGCGAAAGCCAGGGUAGCAAACGGG
rnacentral:rRNA from 1 species